rnacentral:rRNA from 1 species
UUGAAUUGAAGAGUUUGAUCAUGGCUCAGAUUGAACGCUGGCGGCAGGCUUAACACAUGCAAGUCGAACGGUAGCAGGAGGAAGCUUGCUUUCUUGCUGACGAGUGGCGGACGGGUGAGUAAUGCUUGGGAAUCUGGCUUAUGGAGGGGGAUAACGACGGGAAACUGUCGCUAAUACCGCGUAGUGUCGAGAGACGAAAGUGUGGGACUGUAAGGCCGCAUGCCAUAGGAUGAGCCCAAGUGGGAUUAGGUAGUUGGUGGGGUAAAGGCCUACCAAGCCUGCGAUCUCUAGCUGGUCUGAGAGGAUGACCAGCCACACUGGAACUGAGACACGGUCCAG